rnacentral:rRNA from 1 species
UGGGGAAUUUUGGACAAUGGGCGCAAGCCUGAUCCAGCCAUGCCGCGUGUCUGAAGAAGGCCUUCGGGUUGUAAAGGACUUUUGUCAGGGAAGAAAAGGGCGGGGUUAAUACCCCUGUCUGAUGACGGUACCUGAAGAAUAAGCACCGGCUAACUACGUGCCAGCAGCCGCGGUAAUACGUAGGGUGCGAGCGUUAAUCGGAAUUACUGGGCGUAAAGCGGGCGCAGACGGUUACUUAAGCAGGAUGUGAAAUCCCCGGGCUCAACCGGGGAACUGCGUUCUGAACUGGGUGACUAGAGUGUGUCAGAGGGAGGUAGAAUUCCACGUGUAGCAGUGAAAUGCGUAGAGAUGUGGAGGAAUACCGAUGGCGAAGGCAGCCUCCUGGGAUAACACUGACGUUCAUGCCCGAAAGCGUGGGUAGCAAACA